rnacentral:lncRNA from 1 species
ACAGCGCACCAGUUACAGCGGAGCACAGAAGAGCCCAGGUCUUCGAGGAUGUGGGAUGACAGAUGUCUAGUCAACUGAACCCAUCUUCUGCAAAGACUAAAGCAAUGGGGGUGGGAGGAAGGAGGGGGACAAAAAAAGUCAGAGAAAGAUAACGAUUGUAAACCAAAGGAGAACUGAGCACAAGACACUGAGACACCAGAACACACUCGUAGGGAGGUACCAGUUCCUCCAUUUCCACAGCAUCUGCUCCCAGUGAACCCGAUUCAUUGAGAUGUUUUGCAGGCAUGGUGCCAGAAGAUGAAGCUGAGCAGUAAAGGCCAGAAAGUAGAUGCUUAUAAAAGACUCCUUGCAAGGGCUUUCCCAGAUCAAAUGCCCGAGUUGAAAAAUGUUCCUGACACAGCCAAAGAGGCCAGGUUGAAGACAUCUCUCAAAAAAAAUGAAGACCGAACCAGGGGAAGAGUCUCAGGUGACAGUUCCCCUUGAAAUUAUCACUACCAGAGGAGCCCUCAUUGAUUCUAUCACCACUGUUGUGACUACAUCUGCCUCAGAGGCAGUUGGCAUCUUGGGCCAGAAUUGCAGCCAGUGCAGCCAGAUUGAAACAGUGCCUUCCAAUGCAACAUCAGAGACCUAUGGAGAAAUGUGGUGUGUGGUUCAUGGGACAAGCCUUCCUGGGUACACAAGUACUUGGAUUCGGCUAUAGUUCCACGCUGGACAAGCCUAGGUGCCAGAUAAGAACGGGAAAGCAACUGCCCUCUUCCUGCUUCCAGCCUGUACAUUUUCACCUCCAUACCUGGAGGACAACAUGCUGUGCCCCAAGUGUGUUCUUAGAAAGAAGGUCUUAACUAAGAGCCUCGAAGGAUAA